rnacentral:rRNA from 1 species
GGCCCGUACCCCAAACCGACACAGGUGGUCAGGUAGAGAAUACUAAGGCGAUCGAGAGAACUGUGGUUAAGGAACUCGGCAAAAUGCCCCCGUAACUUCGGGAGAAGGGGGACCAGUCCUGGUGACGACAUUUACUGUCUGAGCUGGGGUUGGUCGCAGAGACCAGAGAUAAGCGACUGUUUACUAAAAACACAGGUCCGUGCGAAGUCGUAAGACGAUGUAUACGGACUGACGCUUCCCCGGUGCUGGAAGGUUAAGAGGACCGGUCAGCCACUUCGGUGGCGAAGCUGAGAAUUUAAGCCCCAGUAAACGGCGGUGGUAACUAUAACCAUCCUAAGGUAGCGAAAUUCCUUGUCGGGUAAGUUCCGACCUGCACGAAUGGCGUAACGACUUCUCUGCUGUCUCAACCACAGACUCGGCGAAAUUGCAGUACGAGUAAAGAUGCUCGUUACGCGCGGCAGGACGAAAAGACCCCGGGACCUUCACUAUAGCUUGGUAUUGGUGUUCGGUUCGGUUUGUGUAGGAUAGGUGGGAGACUGUGAAACUCGCACGCCAGUGUGGGUGGAGUCAUUGUUGAAAUACCACUCUGACCGUAUUGGACAUCUAACCUCGGACCAUGAUCGGGUUCAGGGACAGUGCCUGGUGGGUAGUUUAACUGGGGCGGUUGCCUCCUAAAAAGUAACGGAGGCGCCCAAAGGUUCCCUCAGCCUGGUUGGCAAUCAGGUGUUGAGUGUAAGUGCACAAGGGAGCUUGACUGUGAGACGUACAUGUCGAGCAGGGACGAAGGUCGGGACUAGUGAUCCGGCACCGGCAAGUGGAAGCGGUGUCGCUCAACGGAUAAAAGGUACCCCGGGGAUAACAGGCUGAUCUUCCCCAAGAGUCCAUAUCGACGGGAUGGUUUGGCACCUCGAUGUCGGCUCGUCGCAUCCUGGGGCUGGAGUAGGUCCCAAGGGUUGGGCUGUUCGCCCAUUAAAGCGGCACGCGAGCUGGGUUUAGAACGUCGUGAGACAGUUCGGUCUCUAUCCGCCGCGCGCGUAAGAAACUUGAGGAAACCUGUCCCUAGUACGAGAGGACCGGGACGGACGAACCUCUGGUGUGCCAGUUGUUCCACCAGGAGCACCGCUGGUUAGCUACGUUCGGAAGGGAUAACCGCUGAAAGCAUCUAAGCGGGAAGCCUGUUCCAAGAUGAGGUUUCUCACCACCUAGCGUGGUUAAGGCCCCCCACAGACCAUGGGGUUGAUAGGCCAGAACUGUAAGCACAGCAAUGUGUUCAGGUGACUGGUACUAAUCGGCCGAGGACUUAC